CUCAGGAGCACUCUGAGAGGGAAGUGGGAGGAGAAAGGGAGCACCUGAGGAGGGAACUUGCACCCAGUCUCUGCCAGUCCCAGCAGUGGAGCAGACUUCCCCCUCCUGUGUCCAUCAACUUCUGUGCCUGGUGGUGAGGAGACUUGUGAUUCUAUCCAGGAAGAAUAAAUCAUGUUGGCUUGCAAUGACUCCUCUCUGGACCUUUUGGAAGGCUGCAGAUGCAUCCGAUGGAAGAAGGGGAAGUGUUUUCUUGCUGACCGCCUUGCUCGCUUCCUGUGCCUAGAGCGAUGGAAUGCUUCUGAGCUAUCAGAUGACUUGUGGAGGUCUGGUAUUUUCUAUCUUUGCCUCUACUGCUAUCCGCCACUUCCAGAGAUGUACUAGCUGAGCUUGUAGAUCUGAUUUAUGGAGGGUUUCUAAAGACAACUUUCAGCUGUGUAUUUGUAUGCAGCUCUCUGUAUGGGCUACUCAACAGGCAUUCAGAUUUAGGGGGAGAAGCAUAUGCAUCUCAGAAGGAAGCAGAUGCUGCAUAAUCAACAGUAAUUUAGAAGGAAAAGAGAAGGUGAGAAAAGGACAGACCCCAUAUCCGACAUCAGGAGGUUUUGUGCCACUGCUGUCUCCUUUCUGAGGCUCCUGGGUGAUUUUGUGUCUCAAGCC
rnacentral:lncRNA from 1 species